rnacentral:lncRNA from 1 species
CUACCAUAGCUCCUGGUACAGUCUUGCUAUAAGUGAAAAUAAAAAUUAUCCCAUGUUAGAAUCACUGAAGUAGACCAGCAGAACUGAAGCACACUAGAUUCUACCAAACUGCUGAAAUGUGCACACACACACACACACCCACUAAGAAAUCAUGCUGAAAUCCAUCACUAUCUCAGGAGGAGACUACGUCACAGAUACAUACAGAAGAAAGAUUAUUUGAGCCUGCAGAAAGCAGACAGCCAUCUACAAACCAAGG